rnacentral:rRNA from 1 species
CCUACGGGAGGCAGCAGUGAGGAAUAUUGGUCAAUGGACGAGAGUCUGAACCAGCCAAGUAGCGUGAAGGAUGACUGCCCUAUGGGUUGUAAACUUCUUUUAUAUGGGAAUAAAACGUUCCACGUGUGGGAUUUUGUAUGUACCAUAUGAAUAAGGAUCGGCUAACUCCGUGCCAGCAGCCGCGGUAAUACGGAGGAUCCGAGCGUUAUCCGGAUUUAUUGGGUUUAAAGGGAGCGUAGGUGGAUUGUUAAGGCAGUUGUGAAAUGUUGCGGCUCAACCGUAACAUUGCAGUUGAAACUGGCAGUCUUGAGUACAUGAGAGGUGGGCGGAAUUCGUGGUGUAGCGGUGAAAUGCUUAGAUAUCACGAAGAACUCCGAUUGCGAAGGCAGUUCACUGGACUGCAACUGACACUGAGGCUCGAAAGUGUGGGUAUCAAACAGGAUUAGAUACCCGAGUAGUC